UACGUAGGGUGCAAGCGUUAAUCGGAAUUACUGGGCGUAAAGCGCACGUAGGCGGCUUGGUAUGUCGGGUGUGAAAUCCCCGGGCUUAACCUGGGAACUGCGUUUGAAACUACAAGGCUAGAGUGUGGCAGAGGGGGGUGGAAUUCCACGUGUAGCAGUGAAAUGCGUAGAGAUGUGGAGGAACACCGAUGGCGAAGGCAGCCCCCUGGGUUAACACUGACGCUCAGGCACGAAAGCGUGGGGAGCAAACAGG
rnacentral:rRNA from 1 species